rnacentral:rRNA from 1 species
GGUGAAGUGUUCGGAUUGCGGUGACCCCGGCGGUUCGCUGCUGGGGGCGCUGUGAGAAGUUCAUUGAACCUUAUCACUUAGAGGAAGGAGAAGUCGUAACAAGGUUUCCGUAGGUGAACCUGCGGAAGGAUCAUUG